ACAAAUACUCAAUCAAAAGGAUCAAUUAAGAGCACAUAACCCUAAUUCUAGCACAAGCAAUGGUUGCCAAGCAAUGACAACCCCCAACCUAUUGUCACCUCACACGGUGACGCGCUAAUGCUGAAAAAUUAACGGGUUAAGCCAAUUUACCAGAGCGGACGUGUCUGAGUCCGUAUUAUCGAGAGAGAUGCGAAUCUACUGCUUUAGGACCGCAAUCUUGGCCUAAAGUAAUUCAGUAGAUAUAUGCAGAUUCAACCGUCGAUCCACCGG
rnacentral:lncRNA from 1 species